rnacentral:rRNA from 1 species
UACAGAGGUCUCAAGCGUUGUUCGGAUUCAUUGGGCGUAAAGGGCGCGUAGGCGGCGGGGUAAGUCGGGUGUGAAAUCUCAGGGAUCAACUCUGAAAUGGCACUUGAUACUGCUCUGCUAGAGGACUGGAGAGGAGAUUGGAAUUCACGGUGUAGCAGUGAAAUGCGUAGAUAUCGUGAGGAAGACCGGUGGCGAAGGCGGAUCUCUGGACAGUUCCUGACGCUGAGGCGCGAAGGCCAGGGGAGCAAACGGG